ACUGCCCCCCCACACCCAGCCACAGAGGGCUUUCUGAAACGCAGAUUUGAUAUAGUCGCGGGGCGUCUCUGAGCUACAACUGGUAUAAGCUGCAAGAAACUUCUCCUCCUUCAGGAGAAUACCCUUAAUUUCUUCACUCUCAGAGAGGUGAAGCUGUAUAGACCUGCUGGCACCGUGACCUGGCAGAGACGUGAGCUAAGCUCUCCAUGCCUGCUGAAACCUGUUAUAUCCUUGCGGACUAAGCAAGCACCUGUGAGGGGAGAAGCAGAACCACAAAGAUGCUGUGCAGCCAACCCUCCACCUGCUGCCGGCACCGAGCAGCCCCUUAACACAUCCCCGAGGCAUGUCUGAGUCCUAGGGGAUCGCUCUGACUCAAAACGUGCCGUUUUACCCUGCUUGCUGCUGGAGUUUGUGUGGCUCCACGGCGGGCAGGGAGCCCUCGAGACAGACCAGCCCUUUCCCAGCGCCUGAGAAAUCACCAUCCGUGUGUGAAAGCUGUAAACAAAAAACCCCACUUCAAUGGCACAGAUUUAAAUCUGCAUUUAUAUCAUAAGAACUAUAUGAGGGUGGAUGGAGUUUUCAGGCCAUUCGUUACCCAGGUUUGUGAUGCACCCAGCACGAGGUCAUCUCAGUCUCCUGCUGGACUCCCUUGGCACUACAGAAACAUUGGUGGCAACCCAACAAGGAUACAGCCUCAGUUCAAGGCCAUGUUACUGCUGAGCAGACAUCAGCACAGACCAUCUGGAACAACACUGGCCACUUUUGCCUCCCUGCUGCAUCAUGUUCUUCUCACAGAACAGUGUUUGAGGCAUUAACACCCAUGAAUUAUAAAACAAUACAAAAAAAAUAAUGUUCUGCAGGCUUAGCUUUGCUGCAGUGUCCCCAAUACAGAAAAGCCUCCAUUCAAGGUCUUGUAAUAAUGAGCCAGGCAGAAGGAUGGGUCACAGCUGCCAUGUUAAUGCAAAGCAAAGUGUCAUUUUCUCUUCACUAGCAGCAUUCCUAUCCUCAUUCGCAUUGCUUUUCAAUAACACUCCAUGAAAGGAUGUUGAUGUCUUGUUUAAGCAAUGAUGAAAAGUUCGGAGGUUAAUUAACAAGAAGUAGAACACAGUCACUUUACUGAGGAAAAAGUCCAAGAAAAAAAACAAACAAAAAAUUUUUAAAGCUAUAAAGUAUCAUUAGAUUGCCUUUUCCAGUGGAAAAUAGUACUAAUUUUAACACUGCUUAGACACUACAGACUGUCCUUUGGCCAGGGAGAACCACAAGUCCUCUGACCUGUAUUUUAUAAUGCUUUAAUACAUGUUUGUGCUUUCUGUCAGUCAGGAAAACACCAAAUUAUGUGGCCUACAUCAAAAGCCAGUAGUCUGUUAUAUUCACACAUACUCUGUACCCUACAGAGGCAGAUACCUACUUUAGCAAUGUCAGAACAGCUUGUCAAUUAAAUCUGGCCAUAUAUCUUCUUUCGGCUUGUGACAUGUUGAUUGACAACCUAUCGGGAGGCCUGGCCCAGACAUCUGGGGGAUUUUGCCAGCAAGGUCAGGAGAGCUUCUUCUGCAAUGCAAUUUCCAUCAUGGAGCCCUGGGGCACAUGUUAACAGAUCUCACCGGCAUUCUGUGCUGUGGGACUCUCCUGCAAACAGCACAUCUCUGGCUUUGUCUUCUUGCUCUGCUCUUCCUGCUUUACCUCCAAAAUCUUCCUCUGCUAUUUUGGAGCUAGUGUUGCAAAAUCAGGGCUUUUUCUUGCUAUAAACAAUUAAUGUAUUGGAAAUACAGUGUCCAUGAAGUUAAUGUGGCCUUUAGCAGAGCUAAGCACAGCCUAAGGACAGCUGCCAGUGCUGCCCAGCUUCCCUGCUAAUGCCCUAAUGGGAAAACCCUGCGUUUCUCAGACAAAGAUAUUUCAAUGCAUCAAAUCCAGACAAAUCAUAACCUGCCUUCUCAGCAAAGCUACAACCAAAGGAAUGUUUCACACCCUUGAUCAGUCCUCCCUGCUUGAAGCCUGAAGGAAGAACAUCAAUUAAAUCCUUACUAUGAAAACUGUUCUUGGUGGCAAAACUCAUUUUGCCUUUGCAGCUAUUCUCACAUAUGGCAGUUUCCACUAAUCUUGAAAGUUAAGUGGAUUCUCUUGGAAGAGGAAGGAUUCACUACUGGACAUUUGAGACCAAGUCCCAGGAGGAACAUCAUUCUCUCAACUAUGCUCUCCCCUGGACUAAUGAAUGUGAGGAACGAAGGCUCCACUUGGACUGGAAGGAUUAUUCUUCUGUUUGUCAAAGUCAUGUGAAAUAAGCAACGUAAUUUGUGGAGCAAUCAUGGGAAUUUAAUUAUUUCUCAGGAUACAAUUUUAAUGACUCCUCUUCAUAGAUCUUAAGCAGCUACUGGUGUCGUGUUGCAUUAGAAGCUCAAG